rnacentral:lncRNA from 1 species
GGGACUAAGUCGCUAUGUCUGAAUGUCAAAUGGUGGAAAAUCAGAAGAGGAUGGCUGGUUGUCGGAGAAGGUUCACAGUCAAAGAAGCUAUGAGCGAGAGCGAAGGUUGGCAGUGAGAGCCGGCACUGAUCUCCGCCCGAUGCUAGGGAUGCGAGACCUGCAAAAAAAGUCAGGUUGGAGGUUGCUCCGAUGAGGAUCCUCUGACGCUC